AGUGAACGCUGGCGGUAUGCCUAACACAUGCAAGUCGAGCGACCAGACGGGGAGAUUGCGCCUCUAACGGUGGCGGCGGACGGACGAGUGACGAAUGCAUCACAUACUACUUUGACGGGGAGGACUUCGGAAAGCCAGAGAUACUAAUAGCUCAUACGUCCAACGGCUGGGAUCAAUAGUGCAAGGCAGCUUUCGCGACACUUAUAGACGAUUCCGGGCCGGAUUAGCUGGUUGGUAAGGUAACAGCUAACCAAGGAGACGAAGCGUAGCCGACCUGAGAGGGUGAUCGGCCACACUGGAACUGAGACACGGUCCAGACUCCUACGGGAGGCAGCAGUAGGGAAUCUUCCGCAAUGGGCGAAAGCCUGACGGAGCAACUCCGCGUGAGUGAUGAAGGUCUUCGGAUCGUAAAACUCUGUUAUUAGGGAAGAACAAAUGUGUAAGUAACUACGCACGUCUUGACGGUACCCAAUCAGAAAGCCACGGCUAACUACGUG
rnacentral:rRNA from 1 species